rnacentral:rRNA from 1 species
AUUGAACGCUGGCGGCAGGCCUAACACAUGCAAGUCGAGCGGAUGACGGGUGCUUGCUCCUUGAUUCAGCGGCGGACGGGUGAGUAAUGCCUAGGAAUCUGCCUGGUAGUGGGGGACAACGUUUCGAAAGGAACGCUAAUACCGCAUACGUCCUACGGGAGAAAGCAGGGGACCUUCGGGCCUUGCGCUAUCAGAUGAGCCUAGGUCGGAUUAGCUAGUAGGUGAGGUAAUGGCUCACCUAGGCGACGAUCCGUAACUGGUCUGAGAGGAUGAUCAGUCACACUGGAACUGAGACACGGUCCAGACUCCUACGGGAGGCAGCAGUGGGGAAUAUUGGACAAUGGGCGAAAGCCUGAUCCAGCCAUGCCGCGUGUGUGAAGAAGGUCUUCGGAUUGUAAAGCACUUUAAGUUGGGAAGAAGGGCAGUAAGCUAAUACCUUGCUGUUUUGACGUUACCGACAGAAUAAGCACCGGCUAACUCUGUGCCAGCAGCCGCCGUAACAC